GUUGAACGCUGGCGGCGUGCCUUAUACAUGCAAGUCGAGCGAACGGACGAGAAGCUGGCUGCUCGGAUGUUAGCGACGGACGGGUGAUUCAUCCGUGGAUAACCUACCUAUAGGACUGGGAUAACGUCGGGAAACCUGAUCUAAUACAGGAUGAUAUUGUGAACCGCAUGGUUCAAAAGUGAAAGACGGUCUUGCUGUCACUUAUAGAUGGAUCCGCGCUGGAUUAGCUAGUUGGUAAGGUAACGGCUUACCAAGGCAACGAUGCGUAGCCGACCUGAGAGGGUGACCGGCCACACUGGAACUGAGACACGGUCCAGACUCCUACGGGAGGCAGCAGUAGGGAAUCUUCCGCAAUGGGGGAAAGCCUGACGGAGCCAUGCCGCGUGAGUGAUGAAGGUCUUCGGAUCGUAAACCUCUGUUAUUCGGGAAGAACAUAUGUGUACGUAACUGUGGACAUCAUGACGGUACCUAAUCAGAAAGCCCCGGCUAACUACGUG
rnacentral:rRNA from 1 species